rnacentral:rRNA from 1 species
CAGCCGUAAACAAUGUGCGUUAGGUGUGUCGGUAACCACGCGUUACUGAUGCGCCGAAGAGAAAUCGUGAAACGCACCACCUGGGAAGUACGGUCGCAAGGCUGAAACUUAAAGGAAUUGGCGGGGGAGCACCACAACACGUGGAGCCUGCGGUUUAAUUGGAUUCAACGCCGGACAUCUCACCAGAGGCGACAGCUGUAUGAUAGCCAGGUUGAUGACUUUGCUUGACUAGCUGAGAGGUGGUGCAUGGCGUCAGUGACU